GCUGGGAGGUAAGCCAGACUCAGUCGCCAAGACCUGGGCAGCCCGGGGCAAGAAGAAGCUGCAGGAAAUCGGAAAUCUAAGGCCAAAAGGAAAGGAGAGACAGUCAAGAUUCUUUCCCUGUGGUCCUCAACCGUUCUCAGGUGCAGAGGAAGAGGGGCGCAUCCCAGAGGAAGGUCGUCCUAACCAGCUUUCCCCCUAGCACCUGCUGCAGCCCGCCAGGCUCCCCGGCCAGGCAGUCACGAGUGCGAAAGGUCGAGGGCGGCUGAGGACAGUGCCGAGGGAGGAGAUGGGAAAAAGAGGGGUGCGUGCGAAGCGCCAGCUGCCUUUGACCGGAGGCUACGCUCCUGCUGAAAGCAAGGACUCUCGGGAUGCCUCACAGCCCCCGGGGCCUCGCAAGCCGACGGCUGCCAGGGCACCCGCGACCGGCAAGAUGUGGUUGGACACACCUCGGGGACUGCCUCGCGAAUAAUUUGCAAAAGCAUUUCCCCAAAGCAACACAUUAGACCCCAGGAAAGCAGUGGAAGUGAGAAGGACCAGACUUACUUUUAUGAUAGAUAGAGAACCAUCUUUGCCUGGAGAAGUGUGCGCUUGAUAGAGUCCAGGAUGUCCAUAACCAAGUGUGAAAGUGGUGGUGAUGUAGCUGGUACUGCUAAGAAGCACCAAGGGAUUGCGAUGGAAACAAAAGUGAAAGUAAUUGAGAGAACAGAGUGACAAGGGGAAGAAGUAACUGAAGCAAAGAGACUCAUGAUGCAGGAAACAGCAAGGGGAUUUUCUUUACCUGAGGAGGCACUGUUAGUUUUGAGGUGCCGGACCUGAAUGUAGAAUGGUACACGAAGGUUGCAGCAGCCGUUCAGAAUGCAAUCCAGUGCUACCGAGUCAUGUAUGAUGAGAAAAAAAAAAAAGAGCUACUAUUUGGUCAUCACUGGAUCAUUUUUUCAAGAAGGUAGAUAGAAUUGACUCCGGCAAGGAACCAAAACUUGUGCCAUCAACGCAGGCAGGAGUGAAACGGCAGCUUGCCCUCACCCCCAGUUGCUGACAAUCAUUCAGCUCUACCAUCCCUCACCUCCUCCGCCUCCUUCAGCCAGUAACUCUUCUUGCUUUUCACGCGAUGAUGCCAGCCCCAGUAUGCCAGCUGUCGUAUUGUACUACUUUACUUUCAAGAUAUUGGACUGUAAGGUUAAAAAUCUUUUAUUUUUUGUUUGUUUUUGUUUUAUUUGUGUGAAAAGUACUAUAAACCUGUUUCCAUACAGUACUAUAUAGCUGGUUGUGUUAACUGAGUACUUAGACUAACUUUGUUGGACUUACAAACAAAUUGGACUUAUAAACACGCUCUCAAAAUGGAACUCAUUUUUAUGUAGGGGACUUGCUGUAACUGGAAGGGAAGAGAGACAGCUUGUCCAGAAAUAAGGCCCUGAAAACAGAUAUAAACCUUCCAACUUCCCCACCCUUUGAGACUGACAUUUAUUUGGGGGAUUUCAGUGGAUAUAGAUUGAUUUUUUAAAGUUUGGGCCAUUUUGUCUGGAUUUCAAGAAGAGGGAUCCUCCCUUGAACCGUGGCUUACAUUUGCCAUUUUGCAAGGAAGGCAUUUCAAUCCUAACUUUGU